UGUCGGGCUCGCGUUCAGGUUCGGUUACUGCUCUGUCGGACGCGGGCCGGGCUCGGACAGAACAAUGUGGCCCGAUCCACACUCUAACACGCACACACACACACACACA